AUCUGGGCGGCGGAAUUCAGGACGGCUGGCGGGUCUCGCGCUCGUUCGGCCGUUUGAUAUUUCCGUCGCCGUGUCAGACGUCGCGACCCGUUCGUCGUCGGUCCUUGCUCGGAGGAAUUGCGAUCGAGUUCGUUGCGAGCGUGCUUCGGUGCGUCUCGCGGCGAAGACGCGACUCUCUGGCUGACGACGGACGGUAAGCAACGGUGGCUGGCGCCGUGUCUCGCACUCGGCGUCGGUACCGGUCAGCGACGAUUUCUUCGGGCCUCUUUCCGACCCGUCUUGAAACACGGACCAAGGAGUCUAACAUGCGCGCGAGUCGCGGGGUUUCGAGCGUGCCACGGUGCGCUCGUUACUUCCGAAACCCGUACGUUGAAGGCGUAAUGAAAGUGAACAGGGAAGAUGGCGUUCCGAGUCCACGUACCGUGAUCGAGUAUCGCGGCCGGACGUCCGCACUCCCGGGGCGUCUCAACGGCUCGCCACGGAUGCGGACGAUCGUCUUUCGAGGCGGUCGUCGGUCUGUGGCGGUCCGA
rnacentral:rRNA from 1 species